rnacentral:rRNA from 1 species
CGCGGCCUAUCAGCUUGUUGGCGGGGUAACGGCCCACCAAGGCUAUGACGGGUAGCUGGUCUGAGGGGAUGGCCAGCCACAUUGGGACUGCGACACGGCCCAGACUCCUACGGGAGGCAGCAGUGGGGAAUAUUGCGCAAUGGACGAAAGUCUGACGCAGCGACGCCGCGUGUGGGAUGAAGCUCUUCGGGGUGUAAACCACUGUUGCCCGGGACGAAUUUCUGGAUUUUUCCAGAUUGACGGUACCGGGUGAGGAAGCACCGGCUAACUCUGUGCCAGCAGCCGCGGUAAUACAGAGGGUGCGAGCGUUGUCCGGAAUCACUGGGCGUAAAGGGCGCGUAGGUGGCUUGUUAAGCGUGUGGUGAAAGCCCGGGGCUCAACCCCGGGUCUGCCGUGCGUACUGGCGAGCUUGAGCAUAGUAGAGGCAGGUGGAAUUCCGGGUGUAGCGGUGGAAUGCGUAGAUAUCCGGAAGAACACCGGUGGCGAAGGCGGCCUGCUGGGCUAUUGCUGACACUGAGGCGCGACAGCGUGGGGAGCAAACAGGAUUAGAUACCCUGGUAGUCCACGCCGUAAACGUUGGGCACUAGGUGUGGGGCUCUAUCGACGGGUUCCGUGCCGUAGCUAACGCAUUAAGUUCCCCGCCUGGGAGUACGGA